AACGACUCUCGACAACGGAUAUCUCGGCUCUCGCAUCGAUGAAGAACGUAGCGAAAUGCGAUACUUGGUGUGAAUUGCAGAAUCCCGUGAACCAUCGAGUCUUUGAACGCAAGUUGCGCCCGAAGCCAUCAGGUUGAGGGCACGUCUGCCUGGGUGUCACGC
rnacentral:rRNA from 3 species